rnacentral:rRNA from 1 species
AUUGAACGCUGGCGGCAUGCCUUACACAUGCAAGUCGAACGGCAGCACGGGUGCUUGCACCUGGUGGCGAGUGGCGAACGGGUGAGUAAUACAUCGGAACAUGUCCUGUAGUGGGGGAUAGCCCGGCGAAAGCCGGAUUAAUACCGCAUACGAUCUACGGAUGAAAGCGGGGGACCUUCGGGCCUCGCGCUAUAGGGUUGGCCGAUGGCUGAUUAGCCAGUUGGUGGGGUAAAGGCCUACCAAGGCGACGAUCAGUAGCUGGUCUGAGAGGACGACCAGCCACACUGGGACUGAGACACGGCCCAGACUCCUACGGGAGGCAGCAGUGGGGAAUUUUGGACAAUGGGCGAAAGCCUGAUCCAGCAAUGCCGCGUGUGUGAAGAAGGCCUUCGGGUUGUAAAGCACUUUUGUCCGGAAAGAAAUCCUUGGCCCUAAUACGGUCGGGGGAUGACGGUACCGGAAGAAUAAGCACCGGCUAACUACGUG